UGUAAUGGUGCCGCUGUUGUCAGUGUCCAUCCCCUUGAACAUCUGCUUCAAUCCCAUGAUUUCUUCCUCUGAUAGGCAGCCCGCGAUGACCUAUAUUCGUAUUCAUAUGCGAAUCAGUGGAAAAUACAGACCAGGCGAAAUGGAUGGCCAUGGAUCGCUUGUAAAGUCAAUAUGACCUCGCAGAAUUGCCUUGAAUAUUCCAUUUUCGGAUUCUGUCAAAAUCAUGUUUUGGUUUCAGUGUCAUGCAGAUAUACGAUCGAUUUUAUAGUGUUUUCUAGAGGUAGCUUUAUGAUUGAGUGAAAGAAUAUAACCUGCCCAAAAUGGUGGAACACCAGAUAGAAGAAUGUAUAGCAUGACACCAAUACUCCAAAUGUCAACUUCUGGACCAUAUUUCCUCUUCAAGACCUCUGGUGCAAUGUAAUAUGCGCUUCCAACAAUGUCCUUAAACAAUUCUCCUGUCAAAAGGAUUCCAUUGUUUAGCAGAAAUCUUCCCAAACAGAAGUUCUAUCAAGACGAGGCACAGAUAAAUGUGACUGAUAUAUAUAAUCUCAGAGAUCCCAGAAACAAUUGUUACAGAGAUCCCAGAAAUUGAAUUGAAUGAAAGCUGAUAAGAAUUGAAAGAGAAGCAGAAGAAGAGAGAAGGGUGAGAUGAUGAUGAUUAUUUACCUUGCUUGUAAAAAACUGAUAAACCGAAAUCGGUUGCCUUGAGAGGUGCAUUUUCCUCCUUGCUGGAGAGAAGGAAAUUUUCAGGCUUAAGAUCUCUGUGAAUGACUCCCAUGGAAUGGCAGGUGUGGACAAUCUGCACGAUGGUUCUCAAGAGGGAAGCUGCUGCACGUUCAGUGUAAUGUCCCUUUGCAAUGAUGCGAUCAAAGAGCUCACCCCCUGCACACAACUCCAUAACCAAAUGAACAGAUUGUUUGUCUUCAAAAACACUGACAAGCUCCACAAUGUUGGGCUGCCCUGAGAGAUGGCAUAUUGCUUUCCUGUGCUCUUGUGUGUGCACAAAUGUGUGACACCAAACUGGCCUCUCCCCAGCUCUUUCCCCAUGCUGUAAGUACUUCUAACAUCCUCCAUGGGCCUUCCAAGAACAGGC